GAUCCUGGCUCAGAACGAACGCUGGCGGCGCGUUUAAGCAUGCAAGUCGAGCGGCAAGGGCCUUCGGGCCCCUAGAGCGGCGGACGGGUGAGUAACACGUGGACAAUCUGCCCCCGGCCCGGGAUAGCCCAGGGAAACCUGGAUUAAUACCGGAUGAGACGGGACCCGCGAUGGCGGGAUCCGGGAAAGGCGCUGCGGCGCCGCCGGGGGAUGAGUCUGCGUCCCAUUAGCUAGACGGCGGGGUAACGGCCCACCGUGGCGACGAUGGGUAGCCGGCCUGAGAGGGUGGACGGCCACAUUGGAACUGAGACACGGUCCAGACUCCUACGGGAGGCAGCAGCUAAGAAUCUUCCGCAAUGGGCGAAAGCCUGACGGAGCCGACGCCGCGUGAACGAAGAAGGCCGUGAGGUUGUAAAGUUCUUUUCGGGAGGGGGAACAACCGUGGCAGGGAAUGGCCGCGGGAUGACGUGAAUCCCGGAAUAAGCCCCGGCUAACUACGUGCCAGCCGCCGC
rnacentral:rRNA from 1 species